UGGGACGAUUAGCCAUGCUAGUCGUACGAGUUCACACUCGUGGCGAAUAGCUCAGUAACACGUGGCCAAACUACCCUUCGGAGCGCAAUACCCUCGGGAAACUGAGGCUAAUAGCGCAUACCAUACCACCACUGGAAUGAGUGGUAUGCCAAACGCUCCGGCGCCGAAGGAUGUGGCUGCGGCCGAUUAGGUAGACGGUGGGGUAACGGCCCACCGUGCCAAUAAUCGGUAUGGGUCAUGAGAGUGAGAACCCAGAGACGGAAUCUGAGACAAGAUUCCGGGCCCUACGGGGCGCAGCAGGCGCGAAACCUUUACACUGCACGACAGUGCGAUAGGGGGAUCCCAAGUGCACAGGCAUAGCGCCUGUGCUUUUCGGCACCCUAAGGUGGUGCCAGAAUAAGGGCUGGGCAAGACCGGUGCCAGCCGCCGCGGUAAUACCGGCAGCCCAAGUGAUGGCCGAUCUUAUUGGGCCUAAAGCGUCCGUAGCUGGCCACGCAAGUCCAUCGGGAAAUCCACCUGCCCAACAGGUGGGCGCCCGGUAGAAACUGCGUGGCUUGGGACCGGAAGGCGCGACGGGUACGUCCGGGGUAGGAGUGAAAUCCCGUAAUCCUGGACGGACCGCCGAUGGCGAAAGCACGUCGCGAGAACGGAUCCGACAGUGAGGGACGAAAGCCAGGGUCUCGAACCGGAUUAGAUACCCGGGUAGUCCUGGCCGUAAACAAUGUCUGCUAGGUGUGGCUCCCACUACGAGUGGGUGCUGUGCCGUAGGGAAGCCGCUAAGCAGACCGCCUGGGAAGUACGUCCGCAAGGAUGAAACUUAAAGGAAUUGGCGGGGGAGCACUACAACCGGAGGAGCCUGCGGUUUAAUUGGACUCAACGCCGGACAUCUCACCAGCAUCGACUGUAGUAAUGACGAUCAGGUUGAUGACCUUAUCCGAGCUUCAGAGAGGAGGUGCAUGGCCGCCGUCAGCUCGUACCGUGAGGCGUCCUGUUAAGUCAGGCAACGAGCGAGACCCGCACUCUUACUUGCCAGCAGUAUCGCGAGAUAGCUGGGGACAGUAGGAGGACCGCCGUGGCUAACACGGAGGAAGGAACGGGCAACGGUAGGUCAGUAUGCCCCGAAUGUGCUGGGCAACACGCGGGCUACAAUGGUCGAGACAAAGGGUUCCAACUCCGAAAGGAGACGGUAAUCUCAGAAACUCGAUCGUAGUUCGGAUUGUGGGCUGCAACUCGCCCACAUGAAGCUGGAUUCGGUAGUAAUCGCGUGUCACAAGCGCGCGGUGAAUACGUCCCUGCUCCUUGCACACACCGCCCGUCAAAGCACCCGAGUGAGGUCCGGAUGAGGCGCUCCACGCGCGUCGAAUCUGGGCUUCGCAAGGGGCUUAUCAACAGC
rnacentral:rRNA from 1 species